CAGCAGCCGCGGGAAUACGGAGGGUGCAAGCGUUAAUCGGAAUUACUGGGCGUAAAGCGCACGCAGGCGGUCUGUCAAGUCAGAUGUGAAAUCCCCGGGCUUAACCUGGGAACUGCAUUUGAAACUGGCAGGCUAGAGUCUUGUAGAGGGGGGUAGAAUUCCAGGUGUAGCGGUGAAAUGCGUAGAGAUCUGGAGGAAUACCGGUGGCGAAGGCGGCCCCCUGGACAAAGACUGACGCUCAGGUGCGAAAGCGUGGGGAGCAAACAGGAUUAGAGACCCCGGUAGUCCCUGUCUCUUAUAA
rnacentral:rRNA from 1 species